rnacentral:rRNA from 1 species
GAUGAACGCUGGCGGCGUGCCUAAUACAUGCAAGUCGAGCGAACAGACGAGGCUCUUGCUCCUCUGACGUUAGCGGCGGACGGGUGAGUAACACGUGGAUAACCUACCUAUAAGACUGGGAUAACUUCGGGAAACCGGAGCUAAUACCGGAUAAUAUAUUGAACCGCAUGGUUCAAUAGUGAAAGACGGUUUUGCUGUCACUUAUAGAUGGAUCCGCGCCGCAUUAGCUAGUUGGUACGGUAACGGCUUACCAAGGCAACGAUGCGUAGCCGACCUGAGAGGGUGAUCGGCGACACUGGAACUGAGACACGGUCCAGGCUCCUACGGGAGGCAGCAGUAGGGAAUCUGCCGCAAUGGGCGAAAGCCUGACGGAGCAACGCCGCGUGAGUGAUGAAGGUCUUCGGAUCGUAAAACUCUGUUAUUAGGGAAGAACAAAUGUGUAAGUAACUAUGCACGUCUUGACGGUACCUAAUCAGAAAGCCACGGCUAACUACGUG